rnacentral:lncRNA from 1 species
GAACUCUGUGAAAUUCCUGAAAAUAUUAAAUUUUGUAAAAACUUGCAAGUCUUUGAUCUCAGUAGCAAUCCACUGCCAAGACUUCCUGAAGGUUUGACACAGCUAAGAAAUUUAACGCAUUUAGGGCUUAAUGACCUGGCAAUAAUCCGUUUACCUGCUGACCUUGGAGGCCUUUGCAACUUGGUCUCCUUGGAAGUAAGAGAGAACUUGUUAAAGACAUUACCACCAUCACUAGCCCAGUUAAGUAAGCUUGAGAAUCUUGAUCUCGGCAGCAAUGAAAUUGAA